AGCGCAGGCGGUGCGGCAAGUCUGAUGUGAAAGCCCGGGGCUCAACCCCCGGUACUGCAUUGGAAACUGUCGUACUAGAGUGUCGGAGGGGUAAGCGGAAUUCCUAGUGUAGCGGUGAAAUGCGUAGAUAUUAGGAGGAACACCAGUGGCGAAGGCGGCUUACUGGACGAUAACUGACGCUGAGGCUCGAAAGCGUGGGGAGCAAACA
rnacentral:rRNA from 1 species